UGGGGAAUAUUGGGCAAUGGGCGAAAGCCUGACCCAGCAACGCCGCGUGAAGGACGAAGGCCUUCGGGUUGUAAACUUCUUUGAUCAGGGACGAAACAAAUGACGGUACCUGAAGAACAAGCCACGGCUAACUACGUGCCAGCAGCCGCGGUAAUACGUAGGUGGCGAGCGUUAUCCGGAUUUACUGGGUGUAAAGGGCGUGUAGGCGGGUUUGCAAGUCGGAUGUGAAAUUCCCGGGCUUAACUCGGGCGGGUCAUCCGAAACUGCAGAUCUUGAGUACUGGAGAGGAUAGUGGAAUUCCUAGUGUAGCGGUAAAAUGCGUAGAUAUCCGGAGGAACACCAGUGGCGAAAGCGGCCUCCUGGACCAUUCCUGACACUCAGACGCGAAAGCUAGGGUAGCAAACG
rnacentral:rRNA from 1 species